AUUGAGCCGUGCCAAUAUCACG
rnacentral:siRNA from 1 species